rnacentral:tRNA from 1 species
GGGCUCGUAGCUCAGAGGGAGAGCGUUCGCCUCACACGCGAAAGGUCGCUGGUUCAAUUCCAGCCGGGCCCA